CAGAAACAUCAGAACAUGGAGUUACUCUUCAACGGUUACCUCCCUUGUUUUUGAGGUUCCACUGUCAGACAGUACAAGGAAUGAUUCAAGUUGCUCGGUGCCUUACCCCGGAUGAUGAUGUAUAAGACACUGCGUAGUUUGCGACCGUUUCACUAACGCUACAGGGAAAGAACGAAUACACAUCUCAAGUCAUGCCUGAGAACCGACCAACGUCGAAGCUAUGGGUUGUCGUUGCCAUCUUUUUCUUGCUAGCAACGUUGUCGUUGGCAGGCUACAUUCUGUGGAAGGAGGUUU